AGAAAUCUCCCAAUUAGUAGAGAAAAAAGAUAAGAUGAACAAUAGAAAGGAUAAGAAAUUACAGGCCAUUCCAGCAGCUUCACUGCUGCAGUCAAAUGCUCUACCCUUGAGCUAUACCCCCCAGCAGCUUCACCUCCAAAUAACGGAGAGGCUAGAGAAGCAAAAAGAAAUCCAUAAAACAGUAACUCAAGAAAACAUCCCAGACUUGAAGUUCAUGAGUAACCAGACUGAAAUCAACACUAAAUGAAAAGAGAUCCCAGGCACCUUGUUGUGAUAUUUCAGAACACAGGGAACAAAAAGAAGGAAAUAAAGAGGUCACUGACAAAGGCACACCAGAGUGACUUUGGACUCAACUGCAAUACUGGGAACAAGGAGUGCCUCUCACUGGUGGAAUUUAACCUGGAAAUGUAGUUCCCCGGUUUCCAACCCCUGUGAUACAGAGGAGAGCAUAGAAGAGGAUGGAAAAGUCACUGAAUAGCCCACAGGACACAGAGAAACACUAUCUGCUGUAAGCAAAGCACUUGGGUACAAGGCACGUCAAAGCUGUCAAGCUCUACUGGAAUCUACUCAGAACACGCAGAAUGCCAGCUUUUCUUCCCACUUGGUGUCACUGGGACAGGUCUUGAAUCAGAUUAAAGGUGGUGAUGGUCUCCUCACACUCUUGUUCUCAUUCCACGGUUACAGACUUGGCCAGAUUUCUGGGGAAGUCAACCUAAAAUGACAGAAAGUAGCUGCUCAGGACCCCAUAGGUCUCAGCAACACACUGUGUUUAUAAAGCCUACUCUCAGAGUACUUGACAACAAGGAGACAGGUGUUCCUGGGCACCUCCAAUCAUGAGCUCCUUGAGACCUGCAUCUUGGAAGCGGUUCCUUAUUCCAGAAACUUUACUGAACUGUACAAUGUUUAGUUUAUGCAAUAAAUAUUUAUGGUGCACCUAUGUGUCAUGCAGUGUUAACACUAUUAAAAGGAUAUGAUUCAUGCUAUUAAAAACAGCUAGCUCAAUUUGUACUGUUAAAAAUUCACUUUUCUUGGAAGUAGAUGCACUAAAUUAUUGGUUAAGGGUACGGACUGGGAAGGAAAUGUGACUGAGGAUGGUUGAUAAAGUGGCCUUCAACUUUAUCUACAGGGUCUUAUUUCAUUUACAAUAACAUUAAAAAAGAGAAGAAACAAAAAUGACAAAAUGUUGGCAAAUGUCAAUG